UGACCCAUUGUGUAACGGUAGCACGGCAGAUUUUGGUUCUGUUAGUCAAGGUUCGAAACCUUGUGGGUCAA
rnacentral:tRNA from 1 species